UUGGUUUUGUUUUAUUUUUAUUUUUCUACAUCAAUUAAUAAAUUUCUGUAAUUCUUGUUCUGCAAACUAAAUCCUUUUGAGUGAAAUUUUUAGUGCAAAUCAUUUUGUAUAAUGUUCUAACCCAUUCCCUUUUUUGACUGCUUGUACGUAUUUGAUUGAAUUCCGGAUACAAAAAAGCAAAAGGUAUCAUCAAAUUCAAGACGAAAGGGGUCCAACUUGCUCUUGAAAAUGAUAAACAAAAGGAAGCAAUGGCUACUAGUGUCCUAUCAAGUCGAUGGAGGUAUCUGUGGACACAUUACUCUCGUCUUGAUUUUGAUGCCCCAGAAAUGAUUAGUGAAAUAUAUUGGACAAUGGACGAGGAAGUUGUUGAGGUAGAAAGGGUGAGAUAUGUCAAAUGGGUGAAUCGGGUUGUGCAGCUGUAUAGGGGCUCAACUAUUGAAGAAUUCAGGUCUUCCAAAGGGACUGGGAAAAGACAACAACGGGAGCGUCGAUUGCAUGGCCUAUCAAGUACAUCAAAAUUUGAUUAUUGAGCUAGGAAGUAAGCAAAGGAUAUUUCAAGCAAAGGAGCUAAGCAAGCAAAGGAAAAAUACUAAAGAUUUAAAAAUUGCUAAGCUAAGCUAUAAAUUUGGAGUUGAAGUGCUAAAGGACCUUUGUGAGUUUUUCUUUACUCAUUCCUUAGUUUAAUCGUCGGCCCGCGUCGAUGCUUGUAUUUCAAUUCUUAGAUAAAUCGUGAGCCUACGUGGAGGCAAUUUACUUUUCUUGCAUUUUGUUUAAGCAUGGGAGUAUGAACAUUGUAUGUGGAGGAAGUUUGUUAAUUAUUGAUUUGUUGUGAAGGUGAAGUGUUUGUUGUUAUUACUUGUUGUGUAGCAUUGUGCAUGCAUGGUCGUAGAUCAUUGAGACCCACUCUUGUCCUUUUAAAUUUUCGUCUUAAAUCCAUUAUUCGAAACCCUAAGGGAAGAGGUAGCUCUAGUCUAUCCAUUUCAUCAAUGGAAGGACAUAAUGAGGACCAUGUGGAGGACCUUAGUCACAUAGACCAACAAGGUAUCCUCCACCCCAAUGUGCAUCAUGAUAACAUGCAAGUUCCAUUAGGCAUGCCAAGGCCAUAUGUUUAUCCACCACAACAACAAGGCCAAGUUCCAUUGGGAAUGCCAAGGCCAAUCUAUGCUCCACCACCUCCUAUCAUUCAAGGCAACCAAGGUGCCCAUGUUGCACCUCCAAUUGCUAAUCCUCCCCUUACUUUAAGAGAUCACUAUGUGCCUAAUGAAUAUAAUGCACUCACAUGCAUUCAAUUGCCACCAUUUAGAGCAUAUCACUAUGAAAUUAAGCUAUAAACCAUUCAAAUGCUUCCUAAUUAUCAUGGACUUCCAAGUGAAGAACCUUAUAAGCAUUUGGAUGAGUUUUUUGAAGUUUGUUCCACCAUAAAAUAUAUGGACAUGCCGGAAGAGGUAUUAAGGCUUAAACUUUUUAUAUUCAUCCUUAAAGAUAAGGCAAAAUAUUGGUUUAACAAUCUUAGGCCUUUUUCAAUAACUUCUUAGGUGAAAAUGCAACAAGAGUUCUUGAAGAAGUACUAUCCGAUUUCUAAGACCAAUGCCAUGAGAACCUCAAUUCGAGAAUUUUCGCAUGGGGAUGGAGAAACAUUUCAUGAGGCAUGGGAAUGCUUUAAUGAAUUGCUUAGGAAGUGUCCACAUCAUGACAUGCCCAAAUGGUAAUUAGUUCAAUAUUUCUUUGAGAGCUUAUCGGACAAUUACAAAGGCAUGGUUGAUGCUUCCAUGGGUGGCUCUUACAUUGAUAGGCAUAAGGAUGAUGCGUGGCGUCUUUAUGAGAGCAUGAGUGAAAAUUCUUUACAUCGUACUUUAUCUUCAAAGAAUGGAAGAAAUUAUAGUGGUAGGAAGAGUGUUGGCUUACAUCAAGUCGACCACUCUAAUGAAAUUACCACCAAAAUGAAAUCAUUCUCUCAAAUGUUUGAUCAAUUUUUGAUCAACCAAAACUCGGCGAAUCAAGUAUCUUUCUUCCCUAACCAUUCUCAUCAUGCAUCUAAUGAGAUGUGUAUGACUUGUUCAAGUGUUUUACAUUCUACUUCCAAUUGUCCCCAUGGACAUGUGCAAAGUGAGCAUCAUGAACAAGCAAAUGUUGUUUUUGCUAAUCAAGGGAACAAUCCUUAUGGAAAUCAUUACAAUCCUAGUUGGAGGAAUCACCCGAAUUUCUCUUAGAAAAACCAAGGGGAGGGUUCAAACCCUUCCCAAGGCGGUUUUCAAGGAAAGUACAUUCCACCUGUAAUGACCCGGUCAUUUUCAUUCCUUUCCCUUUUCUCAGAUAUUUACGGAUUUUUUUUUUUUCGUUAAUCGUUUCAUUUCUUAGUUCAGUUUCUCAUCACUUAGUGUCAUCUUGAGUGCUCAGGGAUGGUUUUCAAGACUCUUUUCUUUGGAUUGACAACUUCCUUUGAGGACCAAGUCAUUUCCACAUUUUUCAUUUUUCGACACUAUUCACUUUUCGUCAUUUUCCCUAUUUCGUCUUUUUCCCUAUUUUGUCUUUCCCCGUUUGUCACUUUGUUUAUAAAACCACACUUCUUGCGUUUGGAGUUGGUUUUUGACUUCAUGUAUUUUCAUUCUAAGUGGUUUCCACGAAAUACGUAUCUUUACUUUUGUAAGAAAGUACUCUGGUUGGUCCCGGUGUCCAUAGGGGCAUGGAUGCAUAGUUCUUUGGAAUUAUUUUCUUUUCUUAGGGUGUUUUUCUUAAAUAUCUUUUGAAGAUAUUUUAUUUCAGGGAUUUUUAAGAAAAUAUUUUUGGACAAUAUUUUCAUUCUGGGCCAUUGUGUAAUUAAUAAAAGUUAUUACUAAAUGCCUUGUUUUGAGCCUGGAUCCUCGUACGGGAUUCAUUUUCACUUUUCGUCGAGUCGUGUAAUCAUAAAAUUCCUCCUGGUCGUUGUUUUCCAGUUUCAGGGUUUCUGGUCCCGGUUACUGCCGAACUUGUUUGGGGUAUAACUUUUUGUUCGGGACUCAGUUUUUAACGCCGUUCCUUCCGUUGUUCAUUUUUUCUCAUUUUGAAUCUUUUUCGUUCACAGAGUUUUGCCAUUUGAGCACGUCUGCUCGAAUUUCACUUUUUCGGACCCGGUAGGGCCCGUUCAGGGCACUUUUUGAGAUUUCUAUAAAAGAGGAUGAGAUAUUUCAUUUUUCAUUUUCGCCACUCUCCUUGCACGACCAGUAGCUCCCAUGGCAGCCAAAGGGAGGCUGCCACCUUCCCUUUCCUUUUUUGAGCUUCAUUCAUUUGUCAAAACAUAGUAGGGCCUUUGUGUUUAUUGCUCGUCUUGGCGAUACGCAUCUUUCACGUUUAUUAGAACCCAUUUCUGACCAAAUUUUGAGUUUGGGUUUGAAGCCAAGUUGUGAUUUUGAUGGGGCUUCUUAGGGGUUCAUGUAGAUCGUGUUGUCCCCGACAAAACCUUUCGGUAUUAUCGGAUUCGGAACACUUUUUUUUCGGUGGGCUUUUGAGAUUUUCAUCUCAAAUUGAGGUAGGGGAUGUUUUAGGAUUGUUUAUGUGUUGUAUUAAGUGUUUCCCAUGAUUAUACAACUUGUAUGCAUGGUUUUGUUUAAAAUCUAGAAUUUAAUUUAAUUAAUUUCUAUGGUUAAGAUUUAAUUCUCAUGAUGUUAUAUGACUUAGAAUUAAAUUAUGGCAUGCUAGAAAAUUAAGUUUUGAUAUGUUUAUUAACAUAUACUAAAUUGGAAUUAUUUGAAUAUGAAUUGCCCUUUUUAUUUAAUAAUUAUUUUUUGUGAAAGUUUAAUUAUCAUGGACGUACCUUGCAUGAAAUUAACUUGUAGCAUGCUUUUAAAUUAAGUUUUGGCAUGUUGUUUAACAUACUUUAAUUUGAGAGCAUUUGGUUAAGUAUUAAAAUCUAGAGAUUUUAAUUAAAAUGAUUAAUUAAAAUCUAUUUAAAGGUUCCGUUGGCUUAAUUAAGUUUUUAACUUAAUAUUUGUGAUGACUAGGACUUGUACACUAGUAUAUGUUAAAUUUGGGACCAUUUGAUUUUAUUUUAGAAUUUAAGGAUUUAAUUAUCAUGUUUUAAUUAAAUUUCAUCCUAUUGAUCCAAUGACCUAAGUAAGCUUUUGAUUUGAUUCAUGUAAUGAAUAAGUUAUAUUGUUUAACAUGUGUUAAUUAGGGUUCAUUUGAUUGAGAUAUGAAACUUAGAGAAAGUAAUUAGGUUAUAUAAUUAAUUUCUGUUUCUAUUGCAUUAUUGAUUAAAUCGUGUGUUUAACAUUGAUAUUAUGUUUGAAGCAUGAUUUUAGACUUCUAAUGGAUUUAUGCGAUUAUAUUUCAAUAUUGAAUUAUAUUGUUUUAGCGUGUAACGAAUCGCACACUGAAGAUUCGACAUGUGAUGUUAUUAUAACGCGUAAUGAAUCGCACUCUGAAGAUUCGACAUUGUCAUCCUAUAGCAGUUGUGGAUUUAGAGCAUGUAUUGUGUGGUUUCGGCCUACUUGUGCAUGGAAUGUAGUUUCGUGCUGUAUAUAUAUUUUUCGUAUAUAAGUUAUUAACUUAUUUAUUUUAGAGUCACUUGGGAUAUGGUUACUAUAACAUGGCUAGAGUUUGGCUCUAGUACGGGAGGUAUAAGUUCUCUCCGUCGAGAUAGUGCGCAUUAGGGGUGGUAUUACCAGUGGGUUAGUCCUUGUAAUAGCCGUUGAGGUCUCGGCAGAAUUCUGAACUUAGAUGUCCAAGUGUUCCACUACUUGAUUUCGCACUUAUAGAUUUCUAGUUAAUAACUUAGAGAAUCUAUGUCUUGAUGUGUGAUAUUAGAUAUUCUAAUUAUACUAAAUUGCUAUAUUUAGUUGAUUUCGAGCUUUUAGAUUUCAAGUUGAUAACUUUGAGAAUCUAUAUAUUGUUGCUUGGUAUAGUAUGCUUCUAUGUUGGUUAAAUUGUAUAGAUAUUGUGAUUGUGUUUUAUUGUUCAAAUAUAGCUUAGGAGUAAUCCUAUAGAUUCAUUUGGAACAUAGACGUUAGGUGGCAUGAUCCACUUUGGUUAUUUUCGCACUUAAGAUUUCAAGUUAGUAACUUUGAGAAUCUAUAUCAUGUUGCUUUGUAUUGCAUGCUCCUAUGUGGUUUGAAUUGCAUGGAUGAUGUGAUUGAUGCUAGAAAUGAUCUAGGGUAGCUUAGGAUGCUCUCUGAGUCUCAUUUUGACAUAGACGUUAGGUGGCAUGAGCCCCUUUAGCAUGUUUCACCUUAAGGUGAUAAAAUUGUAAAACGUUAGGUCGAUGUAUGCUCAUUUCUUACGAGUAGCUUUAUGUUGCUCACCCCAAAGUUACUGGGGCAUAUUUCAGGUACAGGAUGCAAGAUUGGAGAUUUGCACUUGCUUUGGGUGAAUUGCAGAAUGGAAGUUUCUUUAGAAGCAUUCUUGUUCACAUGCAAGUGUUAGCAUGUUUAAGUUUUGCCUGUGAAAUGUAAUUUUUCCAACUUAGAGGUUAGACAUAUUAAAUGUUGUAAUUGAAUUGUAUUUAGGCUAUAGGCCAUUUUAGCAUGUUUAAAAUGUUGUUUUA